ACCUACGGGGGGCUGCAGUGAGGAAUAUUGGUCAAUGGACGCAAGUCUGAACCAGCCAUGCCGCGUGCAGGAUGACGGCUCUAUGAGUUGUAAACUGCUUUUGUACGAGGGUAAACCCCGAUACGUGUAUUGGGUUGAAAGUAUCGUACGAAUAAGGAUCGGCUAACUCCGUGCCAGCAGCCGCGGUAAUACGGAGGAUCCGAGCGUUAUCCGGAUUUAUUGGGUUUAAAGGGUGCGUAGGCGGUUUGAUAAGUUAGAGGUGAAAUGUCGGGGCUCAACCCCGGAACUGCCUCUAAUACUGUUGGACUAGAGAAUAGUUGCGGUAGGCGGAAUGUAUGGUGUAGCGGUGAAAUGCUUAGAGAUCAUACAGAACACCGAUUGCGAAGGCAGCUUACCAAACUAUAUCUGACGUUGAGGCACGAAAGCGUGGGUAGCAAACAGGAUUAGAUACCCUAGUAGUCC
rnacentral:rRNA from 1 species